rnacentral:rRNA from 1 species
UUUCCGGUUGAUCCUGCCGGACCUGACUGCUAUCGGAUUGAUACUAAGCCAUGCGAGUCAUUGUAGCAAUACAAGGCAGACGGCUCAGUAACGCGUAGUCAACCUACCCUAUGGACGGGAAUAACCUCGGGAAACUGAGUAUAAUACCCGAUAGAACAUUAUGCCUGGAAUGGUUUAUGUUCCAAAUGAUUUAUCGCCGUAGGAUGGGACUGCGGCCUAUCAGUUUGUUGGUGAGGUAAUGGCCCACCAAGACUAUUACAGGUACGGGCUCUGANAGGAGUGGCCCGGAGAUGGGUACUGANACACGGACCCANGCCCUAUGGGGCGCAGCAGGCGAGAAAACUUUGCAAUGUGCGAAAGCACGACAAGGUUAAUCCGANUGGUUUCUGCUAAAGGAACCUUUUGUUAGUCCUAGAAACACUAACGAAUAAUGGGUGGGCAAGUUCUGGUGUCGGCCGCCGCGGUAAAACCAGCACCUCAAGUGGUCAGGAUGAUUAUUGGGCCUAAAGCAUCCGUAGCCUGCUCUGUAAGUUUUCGGUUAAAUCUGUAUGCUCAACAUACAGGCCGCCGGGAAUACUGCAGAGCUAGGGAGUGGGAGAGGUAGACGGUACUUGGGAGGAAGUGGUAAAAUGCUUUGAUCUCUCGAUGACCACCUGUGGCGAAGGCGGUCUACCAGAACACGUCCGACGGUGAGGGAUGAAAGCUGGGGGAGCAAACCGGAUUAGAUACCCGGGUAGUCCCAGCCGUAAACUAUGCAAACUCAGUGAUGCAUUGGCUUGUGGUCAAUGCAGUGUUGCAGGGAAGCCGUUAAGUUUGCCGCCUGGGAAGUACGUACGCAAGUAUGAAACUUAAAGGAAUUGGCGGGGGAGCACCACAAGGGGUGAAGCCUGCGGUUCAAUUGGAUUCAA